rnacentral:rRNA from 1 species
CACGUAGGGUGCGAGCGUUGUCCGGAAUUAUUGGGCGUAAAGAGCUCGUAGGCGGUGUGUCGCGUCGGCCGUGAAAACUUGGGGCUUAACCCCGAGCCUGCGGUCGAUACGGGCAGACUUGAGUUCGGCAGGGGAGACUGGAAUUCCUGGUGUAGCGGUGAAAUGCGCAGAUAUCAGGAAGAACACCCGUGGCGAAAGCGGCUCUCUGGAACGGUACUGACGCUGAGACGCGAAAGCGUGGGGAGCGAACAGG